rnacentral:lncRNA from 1 species
GUAGGUACUCCAUUGUCUGACGGAUCUGAGAACGCUGUCUGGGCUUCGUGCCAAGGGCUGGUAUUCACACAGCAAGGACGGCCUCACAGAAGAGCUGUGGGAAGCAGGAGGGAGUGCCUCUCUUAGGGUGCCACUACUAUGGAGACACAGCUGGGCUGAACAAGAUUUCCUUCAAACGACAACAAGAGAGACAGAAAGUAUGUGAUUCAACCGCUGCCCAAGCAGGCAGGCAGGCACCAGAAGAGCUAGCAGCCAAUCCGGCCAUGCUCGAAGCCAGUCCUGCAGCUCAGCCAAUCAGUGACAUCAUUGGACAUCUCUUUAGAUUGCUCAUGAUGAUAUGAAGAUGAAACUUAAUAGCAAUAACCAAUGGAUGCUUUCCUUGGAGUCAGUUCAACACUGUGGAGAACAGAUCUUCAGGAAUGUUACUGGGAUAACUGUUCAAAUCAAAUCCCAUGCUCCUAUCAUGGGAAUCAUGAGGAAUCCAUUAAUGUAAAGCUGCUGCCAGAGUUUCACGUGGAGGCAGAAUGUUCUAGAUGAUCCCUGUCUCUUCUCCACUGAGGAAGUAGUUUGUUGCCUUCCUGUAAGCUCGGUUAAUCACACCAGAAUAGGGCUCCUGUCUUACUGAGCAGUAUACACUAUGGAGAGAUCCUUCAAAAUCCGUUGGGAGGAAGAACAGAUGAAUUCAUAAAACUGUUCAUCUCUGUUAUCCUGAAUGGUCACUCAGACAACAUUUUACUAAACUAUCAAGGGGAACACUUAAAGUGCCUGCGAGACGGGAAGAGAAUGACUACAGGAGAAAAUCAUCCCAGGUAAAAUGAAAAGGCACAAAUAUAGAGUGUGAUUAAUCUAGAAUAUUGAAGAUGAAAUGAUUAUGUCUGUGCUUGGUAUAAGAAAUCGCCCUUCCCUUUAUGAAGCUACCUAUUGGGAUUUUCACUGAUGGUUUUCCUUCAAGAGUUUUUAGUAUUACUUGCCUUUGUCAACCUUUUGUUUGGUUUUGUGAUCAGCGCCCAGUGUCCAUCAUUCUGAGGACAUAUGUGUAUGUUGAUUUAUACAAUUCAGGUGCAGGAUGGUUGAAUAGGAAGGAAUUUAAUGAAAAGGAAAAUAUGUUCUCAGUGGUUCUACCAUAUAAAAGGAAGUAAAAUCUGAGAGAAAAGUAUAAACUCAUAGUUUUUUAUCUUUUUCAUAUAUCUUGUAAGACAAUAAAGUCAAAGUAUAUUUUUUAAUAAUAAAAGCUACAGCCAGUGUUUUCUCUUUUUUUUUUACACAUGAAAUGUAUAAAUAUAUAAGGAAAUACUUUUACUACAAUUGGAUGCAUAAUUGUUGAUUAUUUACUACAGUUUUAAUAAGUAGGAGAAUGAUUUCAAAGUAAAUAAUAGUGAAAAUUUGUGUAGGCCAAAUUAUCUGUAUUAAACUCUAGAAAAUACAUUCUAUUUUUAUUUAUUUCAAAACAUGCCAAAUCAUGAAGUAAUUACUAUGCAGUAUUAUUUUUCACAAUGAAGAUAUAAUUAAGAAAAGCUAAAUCAUUUUAGAUAUGAGUGCAAUGAUUAACGAUUGUACAACUUAUAAUUUUGCUUCAGAUGAGCUCAGAAUCCUAAAAAAGUACAUGUAACUGGCUUUAUGUGUGCUCACUGGCUUGCUUUCUUACAGUGUAGUAGCUUACAGAAUUAAGAAUCAUUUAUUUCAUUUCAACCUGUUGAACAGAGGAAUUAUAUGUGACCGAAUAUUUUGUUGAAAGGAUAUAGUUCUUGGGAAACAGAUUUAAGUGUGUUUUGUUGAAAGGGGAUGUAUGCUCUUUGGUGUGAUAUGAGCAAAUACAAAUAGUCCAGAAUAGCAGGAAAAAACACUGAUCAUGUUAUUGAUUUUAGGGUUUAUUGACACCAUAUCUUUUCCUCAAUGCUGUAAAAGUUCAACUUCAUCCCAACUGUAGAUGUCUGCAUUUAGAAUUUUGGAUUUUGUGUUCUUUCCCUAGUCAACAAGACCUCACUUGUUUUGCAAAAGCUAUAAUGUGACUAAAUCUCAAAAAUCAUUAACUGAGUUUUAUGUGAAUAAAUAUAAUCCCUCUAGUGCAUAUACAAUUUUAUAAUUUCCUUUUUAGUUGUAGACUUAUCAUACUAUAUCUGUGCCUCAGAACAGUAUAAUUCAUAUAUGCAUAUAUUAGGUUCUCAAUUAGAACAGUUUAACAACAAUGCUAAAAUAUCCACAAUGAAAAACAAAAGCAAUCUUUAAAAAAGAAAAAAACAAAAAGAAAAGAAAAGAAAGA